ACUCCUACGGGAGGCAGCAGUGGGGAAUCUUAGACAAUGGGGGCAACCCUGAUCUAGCCAUGCCGCGUGAGUGAUGAAGGCCUUAGGGUUGUAAAGCUCUUUCAGCUGGGAAGAUAAUGACGGUACCAGCAGAAGAAGCCCCGGCUAACUCCGUGCCAGCAGCCGCGGUAAUACGGAGGGUGCAAGCGUUGUCCGGAUUUAUUGGGUUUAAAGGGUGCGUAGGCGGCCUGUUAAGUCAGUGGUGAAAGGUAUCAGCUCAACUGAUGACGUGCCAUUGAAACUGGCGGGCUUGAGUACAGACGAGGUAGGCGGAAUUUAUGGUGUAGCGGUGAAAUGCAUAGAUACCAUAAAGAACACCGAUAGCGAAGGCAGCUUACUAGGCUGAGACUGACGCUGAGGCACGAAAGCGUGGGGAGCGAACAGGAUUAGAUACCCUGGUAGGCUCUGC
rnacentral:rRNA from 1 species